GCUGGGCACAGUGGCCCAUGCCUGUAAUCCUAGCGACUCGGGAGAUUGAGACAGGAGGAUUGCAAGUUGAAAGCCAGCCUCAGCAACGGUGAGGUGCUUAGUAACUCAGUGAGACCCUGUCUCUA
rnacentral:sRNA from 1 species